UGAUCCUACGGGAGGCAGCAGUAGGGAAUCUUCCACAAUGGGCGAAAGCCUGAUGGAGCAACGCCGCGUGGGUGAAGAAGGUCUUCGGAUCGUAAAACCCUGUUGUUAGAGAAGAAAGUGCGUGAGAGUAACUGUUCACAUUUCGACGGUAUCUAACCAGAAAGCCACGGCUAACUACGUGCCAGCAGCCGCGGUAAUACGUAGGUGGCAAGCGUUAUCCGGAUUUCUUGGGCGUAAAGGGAACGCCGGCGGUCUUUUCAGUCUGAU
rnacentral:rRNA from 1 species